AACGAACGCUGGCGGCAUGCCUAACACAUGCAAGUCGAACGAGACCUUCGGGUCUAGUGGCGCACGGGUGCGUAACGCGUGGGAACCUGCCCUUAGGUUCGGAAUAACUCCCCGAAAGGGGUGCUAAUACCGGAUAAUGUCUUCGGACCAAAGAUUUAUCGCCUUUGGAUGGGCCCGCGUUGGAUUAGCUAGUUGGUAGGGUAAAAGCCUACCAAGGCGACGAUCCAUAGCUGGUCUGAGAGGAUGAUCAGCCACACUGGGACUAAGACACGGCCCAGACUCCUACGGGAAGCAGCAGUGGGGAAUAUUGGACAAUGGGCGAAAGCCUGAUCCAGCAAUGCCGCGUGAGUGAUGAAGGCCUUAGGGUUGUAAAGCUCUUUUACCCGGGAUGAUAAUGACAGUACCGGGAGAAUAAGCUCCGGCUAACUCCGUG
rnacentral:rRNA from 1 species